UCUCUCUCUCUCUCUCUCAAACACGAUAAGGUGUUUAAUACUUCGUUUUUUGUUUUCCUUCUUAAAUUACUAUAAUAUGCUACAUGAUUCACUUGAUUUAAUAAAUAAAUUGUAUAUUAUUAUUGAUUCCUUCUCAAGAUCAUACGCUGCAAAGUAGUAGCAAUCAGCCAAUGUGAAACACUGUCACCUCCUCUUCCGCUGUUGGGAACCACCAUUGACGGAACCCUAGACGUCGUUUAUAUUGUUGAUUCCUUACCAUCGCUCGACUGAGUGCCUUCAUCCGUUCUAAUCGGCAUCUCUCACUGCCACCGUCGAACUUGGAUCUGUACCACCAUCGAAGAAGGAUAGAGAUGAAGAUCGAGGUUGCCACCAUCUUCGGAUCUGGAAAGACGAAGCUUCGUCUUUUCAAACCCACAAACACUGUAAGUCAUCUGCAAGCGAUACCCAACGAAGAAAGCAAAGCAUUCUUCUUCUUCUUCUUCUUUUAUAUCGAAGUAUCAAUGAUUUGGAAGUGCUUGACAAUUUCGAUUUUGAUUUUCUAGGCUUUGACUUUUCUGGGUUUUGAAGUUCUUAAAAGCUUCGAUGAACGCACAAUCAAAGAUUGGAGGUUCUGAAAGCUUCGAUCUUUGAUUUUUUUUUUAUUCAUUGACUGGAUUUAGUUUAAAGUUAAAUCAACUUUGAGUCUAGUUUAUAGGUUCAAAGCGGGUUAACUAAGUUUAAAGAAAUCGAAGGUCGAUUUCUGAGUUGUUCACCCUCGAUUUGUAGGUGUCUAUAUUAAUCAUUUUAUGUGUGUAUAUGUUGAAGAAGAUGAACACAUAAAAGCAUUCGUUUUAUGUGGAGUUUUACAGAUUGAUUCAAAAGAUGGAAAACUUGAUUCCUUCAAGAACAAAAGGAUUUUCAGGAACUUGAUUUUUAGAAGUUAUUUUCCGAAUUUCUAGAAACAAAAAGAGGUUGAACGAGUGGUGUUGCUCGAGAGAGAGAGAGAGAAGGCGGGGAAGGGGGUUUAUUUUAUUUUUAUUUUAAAUUGAAAAUGUAUUAUAUAAAUUUAAAAAAUAAAAAUAAUAAUAAUAAAAAGAGUAAAUCGGUCUUUUAAAAUUGUUCAACCAAAAUUACAAUUAAAAAAAAAUGACUUUCAAUUUAAAACUUUCUGACUAUAACCACAAUUUUUGAAUAUGGACCAAUUUUAUAUUUUUAUCAAGUUAUAAUUAUAAUUCACAAAUAAACGAUACAAUUUUCUAUAGACCAUCUAUAAAUUGAGACAUCUUAGAACAUCUCCAAAUCUACUCUAUUUUCCAUUAUUUAUCCCACUUUUUCCUUAUUUUUCUUCAACUCUAACUCAUUUAUUCUUUUAUUUUCGGAGAAAUAAAUAAUAUAACACAAAAUACAGUGUUAUACUAUUCACUUCUCACAAAAUAAGAAUCAAUUUUGAAUAAGAAUCAAUUUUGAAUUGUCGGUGUUAUUGCAUUUUUUUUAUAUAUUUAUAUAUUUCUAGUUUAAUUUUAUCUAUUAAUUAUAAUUUUAAUAUAAUAUUUAAUAUUUAUGGUAUUUUAUUAUAUAUUAAAUUAUAUUGAUUAAUUAAAAAUAUAAAGUUUUUUUAUCAAAUUCGUAUAAAAAUUGAAAUAUAUAUUGAAAUUUUAAAACACAAUAAUAUAUUUUACAAAAGCUUAUAAUUAAGAUGUUAUUUGGUUUUUUUGAAUAAAAAAUCUAUAACGUCUGCGCAGAUCACCUCUGCAGCUCUUUGCAAUAAAAAAGGUGAAUCAAUCGGUUGCAGACUACAAUAAGAAGCGUGUUUGUUUUUUUAACAUCUGCAUGUUGCUGUAAAUAUUAUAAUAUUAAAAUAAACUGAUUUUAUAAUCCCCGAAAAUAGUUUUUUAAUACCGAAAAUUUAAUAAAUAUGCUAUUUUGGCAAGAAUUUAUGAUAUUACAAUAAAAAACAAUGAUAUUUUAACAAAAAUAAUGAUAUUUCAUCAACAAAUUAUUAUUAUUCAAUAUAAAAAAAAAUUCUACAAGAAUAAACAAAAAAAACGAUAAAAAAUAUGAAAUAAGAUUUCAGCAAUAUAUAAUCAAUAUUUUAUGAAGAAAAAAAAGAAUAAGAAGAGGUAGGAAGAAGCAAAACAAAUGUUUCGCCAAAAAAAACAUACGCAGAGUUUUUUAAUCCGAAGACUUCUGAAAAACAAACAACUGUGAGAUGAAAAGUAUUGCGUGUGUGCUAUGUCGCGCAACAAUAAGAGGUCUAAAAAUAUUUUUUCCAAAAAACAAAAAGCAACUAAGCAUUAUCAAUAUAAUCUUAUUUAUUUAAUAUUAUUAUAAUGAAAAAAUAUAGAUUAUAUAUGGGAUAAUGACUUGAAAGGGUAACAAACUUUCGAUUUUUUUCAUANNNNNNNNNNNNNNNNNNNNNNNNNNNNNNNNNNNNNNNNNNNNNNNNNNNNNNNNNNNNNNNNNNNNNNNNNNNNNNNNNNNNNNNNNNNNNNNNNNNNCAAACCCUUCGAGUGGAGACUUGAACCAGUGAGUCGGGUGGAGACUCAGCAAGUUGGAAAGGUCAGGACUUGGAAAUCGUUGGACUCGGCGAGUCAUGGACUGACUCGGCGAGUCAUGUCGCGAAUGGAAGGACCUUGAGUAUGUGAACUCGGCGAGUCAGUAGGAGGACUCGGCGAGUAGGGUUAACCUGGAAGGUUGAAUUUGACCAGGACUUUGACUUAGACCAGAGCUGACUUGGUUUUCUGUCGGGGGUCAGUUUAACUAAGUAUUGCAUUGAUAUUGAUAACUCGAGAAUCUAGUAGAGUAGGAGUUCAGUGAGUGGUCGGGCAGCAGCUAGUGGGAUCAUCAGCCAGUUCAGCCGGUGCAGGUGAGUUUCCCUUUGUAUGAAUGGGUCUACGGCCACAAUGCCGGCCCAUAUAGUUAUGAGUAGAAGACCCGGGGGUUAGCCCUAGGCACAGUAUGCUAGUAUGAUAUUCGGACGAGGUCCAAUGAUAGAGGGCGGGUGCCCAAGGAGCGGUUUAUGUGAUAGUUUAUACUUGUUGUCUGUGUGAUACUUGUAUGUGCCUGGUAGGGAGGUGAGUGUGGGCGAGGUCCCGUAUCUCACCAAUAGCAGAGUGUGGAUGGAGUUCCACAUCUCAAUAGCAGCAGAUCAGGGGCGAGACCCAAGAUAGGGAAGGAGUGAGGGUGGGCUGGGCCCGUACCUCACUAUCAGCAGGAGUAUGGACGGGGUUCCAUGACUCAUCAGUAGCAGGACAAGGGCGGGGCCCAGAGAUAGGCGAGGCCUUAGGACAAGAUCCGUUAGUAUGUGUUAGGCUUAUGUGAUGUGAUGUGAUAUGUUUAUGUGCUAUUAUAUGUUAGUGGGCGAGGCCCUGUGACAGGCGAGGCCUAAGUGAAACAGAUCUGUAUCCGAGCGGGGCUCGAAGCCAGGCGGGGCCUGGAGCGGCGGGGCCGUUGUAGCGGACGAGGCCCGAGGUAGGGGCGAGGACCAGGAUAGCGGGCGUAGCCCAGUAUUUGCAGUAUGUGUUAGUUGCAGCUAGAUAGAGGGCGUGACCCAGUAUGUGCAGUGUGCAGUUAUGCGCAUGGUAUGUGGUAGGGUGGGGAACUCACUAAGCUUCGUGCUUACGGUUUUCAGUUUUGGUUUUAGGUACUUCCGGUAGCGGAUGAUGGAGCUCGGGAUGAUCGCAUGGCACACACCAUAGUUUAGACAGCCUGGGAAUGUUUACUCUGAUAACGAAUAUGUAUUUUGGAAACUAAUACUUUGUUUAUGUUUGAAAACGAUGAAUUUNN
rnacentral:lncRNA from 1 species